rnacentral:misc_RNA from 1 species
ACAGGUUCAUAAACGCGAGACGUAGGAUAGUCCAACCAAUGAUCGACCAAUCAAAUAGAGCAGUGUUCCCGCACGCCGGUCCCAGCGGCGCGUACAGCCCCGAGGCGACCAUGGGCUACAUGAUGGACGGGCAGCAGAUGAUGCACAGGCCGCCCACAGACCCCGCCUUCCACCAGGGCUACGCGCACUACCCGGCCGAGUAUUACGGACACCACCUCUAAUGCACCGAGCAUCUUUGUACAUAUAUGAAUACAAGUCACACCCUCCGACUCCCGGUGGUGACGAGGGUCGUGAGCAUCCAGCACACGAUACAGAGAGGCCGCGCGCGACACCGACGCGGCAACAACGCGACGGCGACACGCCACACUUACAGGAGAACUAUGCUAAAAUAUGUAAAUAAAUAAAUAAAUAAAGGAUAACGUAAACGCGAAACAUUUUGUAAUAUUUGAAACAGUAUACGAUCUCCUAAAUUAAGAUAAAAGUCAACUGUAAUAUUAAAAAUUAACGAGAGAAAAAAAAAACAUCUUUGUAAAUGUAAACUUGAAGUGACAUGGACGCUGAUUGGUGCGGCACACCUCGGGAGGUUUCACCAUCGCGGGAACUGCGAGGAGUCGACGUCUGUAACAAUAAUGUGGUUUCAUAGUUAUCUUAUAAAUAUUUAUAGCUAAAUGUGUAUUGUUAUUACGUAAAUAUAAAUAAAUAAUUGAUUAGUUGUAAGUUGUAAUUAUCACUUGAAGCAAUCGGUUUGAUGUCGGCGGGAAGGUGUACGACGCGUUUUCUGUUCUGUAAACGAAUCGUGUAACUAAUUAUGAUUUCUUUCGAAAACCAUGUCCGUGACGAGCGCCGAUACGUGCCCAUCAAGGCGGCUAAGUUUGCAGGUCAAUCGAUCGUCAGUCCCGACUGACGACUUCGUUCCGUUUUGAUGAGCACGUCUCGUCGUAUAGUAUAAACGUUACAUGUCUCCAGAGUGUUGCAUCUUUAUCUAAUCAUUUAUUAAUAAAUUGUCAAGCUCAAAUCGUACUUCUAGAGGAAUGUCAAUUUAUUAUCCACAUUUCUUAUGACACAGUUUUUAUUCGUUUUCCCACACAUAAAAUACAUAUCUUUGAAUUUUAUAUAUUUAUUGUAUAUGUAAAAAAAUAAUAUUAUAUAUGUGGAAAAUACCAUUGAUUUUUCACGUUUUGCCUUUAUGUACUAUACUAUAGCACAAUUGUAACCAAUGUAUACGAACACAAAAUGUAUUUUACAAUGUUAUUGAAAGAUUUUUAGGUAUAUUUUUCGUCUUAAAGAUUAUACCGUUGUAACAGCCUUCUGUGUUACCAAGAGAUUAAUAAAGUACAGAUUAAAAAUAUCGUAUAUCAAAAGUGCCGUGUCUGUGUCAGUUCGUAAGUCUGGAGCAAUUCUAAAAUAAGUGUUAUGUAACAGUGAAACAUGAUGGAAAAAAAAAAAACAAUAUUUUUAGUCUGGAUUUUUUAACAAAUCGUGUGGUAGGUCACGACUGACAAUUUUAGCAGUUUCGUUCUAGAUUUUUCCAGUUCCGUGGUAAAUAAUUUUACUUUAGAAAAAUCUAAAAGUCGUCAACAUAUCUGUAUGUUGCUAUCUACGUUAAAUGUUAUUUCUUUAAGUCAUUAAAAUAUGGAAACUGGCGAGUAUUAAUACUUUAAAUUACCACGGAACAAUCAUCAUGUGAAUGUCGAUCAACUGAUAGAGCCUGUGAACUUUAAUAACAUACGAAUUCCCCAUUUUUUCCCGUAAAGUAAGAAAAGGAAAGCUUUUGUACAAUUUGUGAACGGAUCGAUAUUCCCAUUAUGAGCUUUUGGUAAUAAAUUUUAUAAAUAAAUUAAAAGUAAUGCACCGCAUUACGGCCUUAUGCUAUGUAUACGAGGAGGAAAGCUAUUAAAAUAUGAGAAUUGACCGCGGCUAACGACAAAAAGCGGUUUUUAUAGGCAAAUAAAAUAAUCCAAACAAGCUUUAUUAUAUGGUAGGGUAAAUGACGAAAUAUCUUGUGUUGAUUCAUCAUUAUUGUGACACGCUUGUUUCCUAAUAGAUAGGUAUCUUGCUGUUAACGAAAAAUUGACUUUGAAGCCUCAAAAUUAUUUUGAAACGAACCAUAAAAAUAAGAUAGAUA